AGAGUUUGAUCAUGGCUCAGAUUGAACGCUGGCGGCAUGCCUUACACAUGCAAGUCGAACGGCAGCGCGGGAGCAAUCCUGGCGGCGAGUGGCGAACGGGUGAGUAAUAUAUCGGAACAUACCCUAGAGUGGGGGAUAACGUAGCGAAAGUUACGCUAAUACCGCAUACGCACUAAGGUGGAAAGUGGGGGAUCUUAGGACCUCAUGUUCAUGGAGUGGCCGAUAUCUGAUUAGCUAGUUGGUAGGGUAAAAGCCUACCAAGGCGACGAUCAGUAGCUGGUCUGAGAGGACGACCAGCCACACUGGAACUGAGACACGGUCCAGACUCCUACGGGAGGCAGCAGUGGGGAAUUUUGGACAAUGGGCGCAAGCCUGAUCCAGCAAUGCCGCGUGAGUGAAGAAGGCCUUCGGGUUGUAAAGCUCUUUUGUCAGGGAAGAAACGGUGUUUCCUAAUACGGAAUGCUAAUGACGGUACCUGAAGAAUAAGCACCGGCUAACUACGUGCCAGCAGCCGCGGUAAUACGUAGGGUGCAAGCGUUAAUCGGAAUUACUGGGCGUAAAGCGUGCGCAGGCGGUUUUAUAAGUCUGAUGUGAAAUCCCCGGGCUCAACCUGGGAACUGCAUUGGAGACUGUAAGGCUAGAGUGUGUCAGAGGGGGGUAGAAUUCCACGUGUAGCAGUGAAAUGCGUAGAUAUGUGGAGGAAUACCGAUGGCGAAGGCAGCCCCCUGGGAUAACACUGACGCUCAUGCACGAAAGCGUGGGGAGCAAACAGGAUUAGAUACCCUGGUAGUCCACGCCCUAAACGAUGUCUACUAGUUGUCGGGUCUUAAUUGACUUGGUAACGCAGCUAACGCGUGAAGUAGACCGCCUGGGGAGUACGGUCGCAAGAUUAAAACUCAAAGGAAUUGACGG
rnacentral:rRNA from 1 species